CUAUGCGCCUUGCCAGCCCGCUCAGGUGUGCCAGCAGCCGCGGUAAUACGUAGGGGCGAGCGUUGUCCGGAAUCACUGGGCGUAAAGGGCGCGUAGGCGGUUUAAUAAGUCAGUGGUGAAAACUGAGGGCUCAACCCUCAGCCUGCCACUGAUACUGUUAGACUUGAGUAUGGAAGAGGAGAAUGGAAUUCCUAGUGUAGCGGUGAAAUGCGUAGAUAUACGGAGGAACACCAGUGGCGAAGGCGGAUUGCUGGACAGUAACUGACGCUGAGGCGCGAAAGCGUGGGGAGCAAACAGG
rnacentral:rRNA from 1 species